GUCUAUUACUUGGUUCAUGUGCUCUCCAAGGCCGAGAUGUUGCAGAUCUCUCAUUCACAGACUGGAAAACCGGGGAAUUAAAUUUUUGACUAAACGCAUAUAUUGGAGCACUUGGUCCCCCGCUGGUGGCGCUGUUUUGGAAAGCUGAGGAACCUUUAGGACACGGAUCUUUGAUGGAGGAAGCAGCUCAAGUAUGUCCUGGAAAUUUUCAGCGAUGGUUUGAGAGAUGUCAGCUGGACUGAAUUGAGAGAUGGCUAAA